GCCGAGCUCUUCCCGCAGAGCAGAGCGAGCCACCGCAAGGAGGCUGAGUGGGUGCCGCCGCGUGGAGGCGGCGGGAGUGGAUAGAGGCCCUCCUUCCCUGCGCGUGUCUGUGUCCCCUCUACGCUUCUUGUAAGGAACCCAGUCGACGGAGUUAGGACCCACCCUAGUCCGAGUAUGACUUUGUCUUAAAUAGUUACAUCUUCAAAGACUCCAUCUCCACAUAGGAUGACCUUUUCAAGUUCUGGGUAAAAUCUGGACAAAGUAGAAACCAGCUGUCCGAGGACUCCGAGAAGUAGGCAGAAGCAGGCGAGAGGUGGGGGCGCCCGCGCUUGGAGCUGCGUCCCGCGUGAGGGUGAACAAAGGAGAAGUCCGUCUACUUACCACACGGACGACAGGUGUUUUCCAAAGCACACUCCGGGCCCCCAGGGGAUCCUGAACGUUACCUGUGAAACUGUCCAGACACGCAUGACUUCUCUUUGGUUCUUCCAGUAUUUGGAGAGCAGAGGGAGAAAUGUUUCACCCAGGAGCUGUGAGUCAGCCCUGAACCCACGCAGCCAUGGAAGCCCCAUCUGAAGGUGCAUCUCACACGAGGAGGCCUCCUGGAUGGACCUGGAGAUGGUCCCACUGAGUGAAGUAAGUCAAACAGAGAAAGACAAAUAUCAUACGGUAUCACUUAUAUGUGGAAUCUAAAAAAAUGACACAAAAGAACUUAUUUACAAAACAGAAACAGACUCUCAGACGCAGAAAACUAACGUACAGUCACCAGGGGGAAGAGGGGAAUGGAGGGAUAAACUGGGAGUUGGGACUUGCAGACACACUGCUGUAUGUAAACCAGAGAGACAGCAGGCCCUCCUGGACAGCACAGGGAGCUGUAUUCAAUACCUCGUAAUGGCCUAUGAUGAAAAGAGAAUAUGAAAAGGAAUAUAUAUACGUACAACUACGUUGUACACCAAAAAGCAACACAACAUUGUAAACCGACUACGUUUCAAUUAAAAAAAAUA